UACGUAGGGGGCAAGCGUUGUCCGGAAUCAUUGGGCGUAAAGAGCGUGUAGGCGGCCAGAAAAGUCCGCUGUGAAAACUCGAGGCUCAACUUCGAGCUGUCGGUGGAAACUUUCUGGCUAGAGUCCGGAAGAGGAGAAUGGAAUUCCUGGUGUAGCGGUGAAAUUCGUAGAUAUCAGGAGGAACACCGGUGGCGAAGGCGACCACCUGGACGGAGAUUGACGCUGAGGCGCGAAAGCGUGGGGAGCAAACAGG
rnacentral:rRNA from 1 species